CGAGCCGAGUCGCAACACCGUCGUCGCGCAUCGCGUGCUGGUUUUUCAGUGUGUACGUUUUGAUUGCAAAAAAAUAUAAGCAAAAGAGGAAGGCAAGCAACAACGCUGAAAAAAACCAUUUUUCAUUUGCGGCCUGGAAAAGCGCCCCAAAGAAAAUGAAUAGAUAAAUUGUGUUAAUCGCCCCAUCGAGCCAGCAAAUAUUUACUAUAUAUUUAUAUUUUGUUGUUGUGCUUUUUUUUUGUUGCGUUUGGGCAUUAUUCAUUUGUUAAUUGUGCAGCUGCCCGCUGCCUGCGAGUGAUAAAAAUGUCAUAGACGACGUAUUCUCCCGUGAAAAGCGUCGGACGACAGUGAGUGUCGCCUCCACAUCAUACAGCCAUGACCAGCGGCAAUCGAUGAUUGCCAUUCCCUCAGCCAACAAGAGCCAGCGAUAGAGGCAGCCGGAAAGGGAAAGGGAAAGGGAAAGAGAAAGAGAAAGGGAAGCCUUCAGCCCGCCAUUCAAACACAUCAAUAGCCGGAGGCGAUUCCCUCCCAUUCGCCCCGUAUUGAAAGCCAAGGACUAAAGUCACGCGGUCAAAAUGCUGAUCAAGGAGUACCGCAUUCCGCUGCCCCUCACCGUCGAGGAGUACCGCAUCGCCCAGCUCUACAUGAUAGCGAAAAAGAGUCGCGAGGAGAGUCAUGGCGAGGGCAGUGGCGUCGAAAUAAUCAUCAAUGAGCCAUAUAAGGACGGACCCGGUGGAAAUGGCCAGUACACGAAGAAGAUCUACCAUGUGGGCAAUCAUCUGCCGGGCUGGAUCAAGAGUCUCUUGCCAAAGAGCGCUUUAACCGUGGAGGAGGAGGCGUGGAAUGCCUAUCCGUAUACCAGGACACGCUACACGUGUCCAUUUGUGGAGAAGUUCUCGCUGGACAUUGAGACAUACUAUUAUCCGGAUAAUGGCUACCAGGAUAAUGUCUUCCAGUUGUCCGGAAGCGAUCUGCGUAACCGCAUCGUGGAUGUGAUUGAUAUUGUGAAGGAUCAGCUAUGGGGCGGCGACUAUGUGAAGGAGGAGGAUCCGAAGCACUUUGUGUCGGACAAGACGGGCCGUGGUCCUUUGGCGGAUGACUGGCUGGAGGAGUAUUGGCGCGAGGUGAAGGGCAAGAAGCAGCCGACGGGGCGCAACAUGUCCCUGAUGACCGCCUACAAGAUCUGCCGCGUGGAGUUCCGCUACUGGGGCAUGCAGACGAAGCUGGAGAAGUUCAUCCACGACGUGGCGCUGCGCAAGAUGAUGCUGCGUGCCCAUCGGCAGGCGUGGGCGUGGCAGGACGAGUGGCACGGACUAACCAUCGAGGAUAUCCGGGAGCUGGAGCGCCAGACGCAGCUGGCCCUGGCCAAGAAGAUGGGCGGCGGCGAGGAGUGCAGCGAUGAUAGCGCUUCGGAGCCGUAUGUGAGUACGGCGGCCACCGCCGCCUCCACGACGGGCAGCGAGCGAAAGAAGUCCGCUCCGGCCGUACCGCCCAUUGUCACCCAGCAGCCGCCGAGCGCCGAGGCCAGUUCGGAUGAGGAGGAGGGCGAGGAGGAGGAGGAGGAUGACGAGGACGAGAACGAUGCCAUUGGCACCGGCGUGGAUCUGUCGGCCAACCUAAGCGGCUCCGCCCAAAGGUCACGCUCCCAGAGCAUCCAGAUGGCCCAGAAGGCCAAGUUCGGGUCAAAGGGCGCCCUCCAUUCGCCGGUGGGUUCGGCCCACAGCUUCGAUCUUCAGUCCAAAAAGCCGCAUGCAAAAACAGCGCCUCGCAGACAUGUGGCCAACUGGCGAAUGGAGCGAUUGGAAGUGGACUCCAAAUCCAACUCGGAUGAAGAAUUCUUUGAUUGUUUGGACACCAAUGAGACGAACUCGCUGGCCAAGUGGAGCUCUUUGGAGCUGCUGGGCGAGGGCGACGACAGUCCACCGCCACAUGGCGGACCCUCGAGUGCGAUAUCCGUGGGUGGGCGUGGCCAUUCGCGGCAGGAGGACAGCAUCUUCAAUCAGGACUUCUUGAUGCGCGUCGCCUCGGAGCGUGGCAAUAAACGGCAGCUGCGCUCCUCGGCCAGUGUGGAUCGCAGCCACGACUCCUCGCCGCCAGGAUCGCCGAGCACACCGUCGUGCCCGACCACAAUUCUAAUCCUGGUCGUCCAUGCCGGCAGUGUUUUGGAUGCGGCCAGCGAGCUGACGGCCAAGAAGUCCGAUGUGACCACAUUUCGCGGCUCCUUCGAGGCGGUGAUGCGCCAGCACUAUCCCAGCCUGCUCACCCAUGUGACCAUCAAGAUGGUGCCGUGUCCCUCGAUUUGCACCGACGCCCUGGGCAUCCUGUCCAGCCUGAGUCCGUACUCCUUUGAUGCCUCGCCAUCGGCGGCGGAUAUACCGAAUAUAGCGGAUGUGCCCAUAGGAGCCAUACCGCUGCUGUCCGUUGCAUCGCCGGAAUUCCAUGAGACGGUCAACAAGACGGUGGCCGCUGCCAAUAUUGUCUACCAUGAGUUCUUGAAAUCGGAGGAGGGCCACGGCUUCUCCGGCCAGAUUGUGAUGCUGGGCGAUUCGAUGGGCUCGCUGCUGGCCUACGAGGCGCUCUGCCGAUCGAAUGGCAGCCAGCCGGGCAUCGCUUCGGGUGCCUCGAAUUCGGGCGGUGAUGGCUGUGGCGGCGUGGCCAACACCACCGGUACCAAUAUUAAUACCCACAAUCCGCUGGCCGCACGACAUUCGCGUUUGGACGACGACGAGCGACUCUUCAUCGAGGCCGAUUUGGAUGCCAAACGUCUGUUGGUGGCACCAUCGCCCCGGCGACGCCGUUCCAGCUCCUCGAGCGACUCGCGGGCCGCCAAGCUGGACUUUGAGGUCUGCGACUUCUUCAUGUUCGGAUCACCGCUGUCGGUGGUCCUCGCCGCACGGAAACUACACGAUGCCAAGGCCGCCCUGGCCAGGCCCAACUGCCACCAGGUGUACAAUCUGUUCCAUCCAACUGAUCCGAUCGCCUCGCGUCUGGAGCCGCUCCUUAGCGCCCGAUUCUCCAUCCUGUCGCCGGUCAAUGUCCCCCGGUACGCCAAGUAUCCGCUGGGAAAUGGUCAGCCAUUGCAUUUAUUGGAGGUGAUUCAGUCGCAUCCGCAGCACUUUAACGAUGGCAACAACCUGUUGGCCGGCCGCCGAUUGUCGGAUGCCUCGAUGCAGAGCACGAUAUCGGGUCUGAUUGAGAAUGUUUCGCUUAGUACGAUCCAUGCCCUUCAGAACAAGUGGUGGGGCUCAAAGCGCCUGGACUACGCAUUGUACUGCCCGGAGGGAUUGAGCAACUUUCCGGCCCACGCCCUGCCGCACCUUUUCCAUGCCAGCUACUGGGAGAGUCCCGAUGUGAUCGCCUUCAUCCUCCGCCAGAUUGGCAAAUUCGAGGGCAUACCGUUUGUGGGCUCCAACGAUGACAAGGACAACGCCUCGUUUCAUCCAGGACAGCCACGCGAGAAGUGGAUCAAGAAGCGCACCUCGGUGAAGCUGAAAAAUGUGGCCGCCAAUCAUCGGGCCAACGAUGUGAUCGUCCAGGAGGGCAGGGAGCAGCGGCUGAAUGCCCGCUUCAUGUACGGACCCCUGGACAUGAUCACGCUGCAUGGCGAGAAGGUGGAUGUGCACAUCAUGAAGGAUCCGCCGGCGGGCGAAUGGACAUUCCUCAGCACCGAGGUGACGGACAAGAACGGUCGCAUCUCGUACAGCAUCCCGGAUCAGUUGUCCCUCGGCUAUGGCAUCUAUCCGGUGAAGAUGGUGGUACGCGGCGAUCACACCUCAGUGGAUUGCUAUAUGGCGGUGGUGCCGCCAUUAACCGAAUGCGUGGUCUUCAGCAUCGAUGGCUCCUUCACCGCCUCGAUGUCGGUGACGGGCCGCGAUCCCAAAGUGCGGGCGGGGGCCGUCGAUGUCUGCCGGCACUGGCAGGAGCUGGGCUACCUGCUCAUCUACAUCACCGGACGGCCGGAUAUGCAGCAGCAGCGCGUCGUGUCCUGGCUGAGCCAGCACAACUUCCCCCACGGCCUCAUCUCGUUCGCCGACGGCCUGUCCACCGAUCCGCUGGGCCACAAGACGGCCUAUCUGAACAAUCUGGUGCAGAACCACGGAAUCUCAAUCACCGCCGCCUACGGCAGCAGCAAGGACAUUAGCGUCUACACGAAUGUGGGCAUGCGAACCGAUCAGAUCUUCAUCGUGGGCAAGGUGGGCAAGAAGCUGCAGUCCAAUGCCACCGUGCUGAGCGACGGCUAUGCCGCCCACUUGGCCGGAUUGCAGGCGGUGGGCGGAUCGCGUCCGGCAAAGGGCAAUGCCCGCAUGGUCAUCCCCCGUGGAUGCUUCAAUCUUCCCGGCCAGACGGCCAAUCCGCGGCGCAGAAGGCUGCAUGAACAAGCAACGAAUGAAAAUUGAAUUGCAACCUAAACAAACAACAAUAAAUUGUUUAGAUCAAUUAAACAACAAUAAAAGCAUCUUGUAAACAGAUAGAAGCAAAAAAAAAAAAAUACAAAAACUAUGCAGACAAUUGGUGUUAGUUUUAGUGUUAUAGAAUAUGCCCUAUACUCCCCACACAUUUUAUGAGUUCUCUUGUUAAGUAUUUUGAAGCAUACCUAGCUGAGCAUUUUAUUGAUUGAUUGGUGUUGUGAAGAAAAACCAAAGUUUAUGAAAACCAAUGAAAAUACCACCAAUAUUGGAGGUGAGGAAAAGUCGAUGGAAAUCGAUGGUUUAAAUGCCUCCGCCUCUAAACCGCACUUAGAGUGAAACGAAUUUGAACACUUUUUUUUAAACAAUAACUCUAUCUCUCUUUUUCCAAAAACCAAAAUUUGCUUGAAAAAAAUAAAACAACACUUGCAAAACGAACACAACACCCACACACACACAUACCUCACACGCACACACUGCCAUCGACCUUGGUAUCGAUAAACAAACAGCAACGAGACGGGACUUUCAUCACCCAUACGCAGUGGUUACCUGAAGCGCAAGACCUACCUAAGCCACCACUAGAGCAACAGAGACGCAGCUAUAUAGAUUGAUCUAUAAUCCCCCCGAACCCAGAUAGUAAUCCCUUCGAAAUAGAAUGAAGUAUAUAGCCAAAGGACAACAACUCCGAUGCCUCCAUAUGCCACAUCCGUGUAUAUACCAUAUAAUUAUAUAUUUAUAUACUAUGCGCGAUAUAUUGAAAGUUCAAUGGUGUAAUAUAUAUAUCGAAAACCAAAUUUGCAAAUGAGAAAAAACAAUUGUACAACAUUUAACCAAAGUCAAAUGUGUCACGCGGUACCUGGAAAGAAAGACUGUUUCCUCUUGUUGUUUGAUGGUUUUUCAAACCACUUAAAGCAUUAAAAAGCAUUGAAAACUACACGAAACAAAAGCCGAUCGUAAAGCUAUCUACCAAAUACAAUUAUGAAAAGAUAUAUACAAGGAUAUAUUCAAAAUAUAGAACCGUUUAACAUAUGCAAGCGAACAAAGUUCAACAAACCAAGUGCGGUAUAACAUCUGAAGGACAACCUAAUGAAACCGAAGAUCUCCCGAUGAAUUAAGAUGAAAACUAAGACAAGGAAGACGUGCGAGGAAAGCGUUGCAAAAUCAAAAGGCAAAUUUAAUGCAUUUCUUGACAAACAACCACUACAAACUCUCACAAAAAGUAUAACUUAACGGCUUCCGUAAAACCAAACAAUUCAAACCUUAAAAUAUAUAACUAUAUUUGUGCGUGUAAAAUUUACGAAAAAGGAAACGUCAUGAAAAUGAAAACAAUCUCUUACCUGGCCCCAGAAAUUUAAAAUCUCCAUAAUUGUGAUAGUAUUUCGCUACCAAAAGUUAAUUUAAAAAGAAACCAGAAAAA